UUUCCGUAGGUGAACCUGCGGAAGGAUCAUUAUUGUAUAACCGAGGUGCGAGGGCUGUCGCUGACCCGAAAGGCCGUGCACGCCCGUGUGCUAACACGCACAUCUAUCUCAAUCCUAUGUGCCCCACCGCGCGGCUUCUUCUUUGGCUUGUUCGGAGGGGGGCUUACGAUUUAACACAAAAUUAGUAUGCACUGUCAAAAGUGUUUCUUGUUUUUGUGAUCACGAAAUCAAUACAACUUUCAACAACAGAUCUCUUGGUUAACGCAUCUAACAAGAACC
rnacentral:misc_RNA from 1 species